rnacentral:rRNA from 1 species
UACAGAGGGCUCAAGCGUUGUUCGGAUUCAUUGGGCGUAAAGGGUGCGUAGGCGGCGGGGUAAGUCUGAUGUGAAAUCCCGGGGCUCAACCCCGGAACUGCAUUGGAUACUGCCCUGCUUGAGUACUGGAGAGGAGACUGGAAUUUACGGUGUAGCAGUGAAAUGCGUAGAGAUCGUAAGGAACACCAGUGGCGAAGGCGGCUACCUGGAUUGACACUGACACUGAGGCGCGAGAGCGUGGGGAGCAAACAGG